ACGCGUGAGCAACCUGUCCCUUACAGGGGGAUAACACAGCGAAAGUUGUACUAAUACCGCAUAAGACCACAGAGUUCACGAUGGCUUAGGGGGUCAACAGUGAGCACAUCCGGUAAGGGGUGGGCUCGCGUCCGAUUAGAUACGUUCGCGUGAGGUAACGGCCCACCAAGUCGACGAUCGGUAGCCGACCUGAGAGGGUGAUCGGCCACAUUGGGACUGAGACACGGACCAAACUCCUACGGGAGGCAGCAGUGGGGAAUAUUGGGCAAUGGGGGAAACCCUGACCCAGCAACGCCGCGUGAGGGAAGAAGGUUUUCGGAUCGUAAACCUCUGUCCUAGGUGAAGAGAAAGAGACGGUAGCCUAGGAGGAAGCCCCGGCUAACUACGUGCCAGCAGCCGCGGUAAUACGUAGGGGGCGAGCGUUGUCCGGAAUGAUUGGGCGUAAAGGGCGCGUAGGCGGCCCGGUAAGUCUGAAGUGAAAGUCCUGCGUUCAACGUGGGAAUUGCUUUGGAUACUGUCGGGCUUGAGUGCAGGAGAGGUAAGUGGAAUUCCCAGUGUAGCGGUGAAAUGCGUAGAGAUUGGGAGGAACACCAGUGGCGAAGGCGACUUACUGGACUGUAACUGACGCUGAGGCGCGAAAGUGUGGGGAGCAAACAGGAUUAGAUACCCUGGUAGUCCACACUGUAAACGAUGAAUGCUAGGUGUAGGGGGUAUCGACCCCUUCUGUGCCGCAGUUAACACAAUAAGCAUUCCGCCUGGGGAGUACGGCCGCAAGGUUGAAACUCAAAGGAAUUGACGGGGGCCCGCACAAGCAGCGGAGCAUGUGGUUUAAUUCGACGCAACGCGAAGAACCUUACCAGGUCUUGACAUCCAGUUAAAGCUUGUAGAGAUACAAGGUGUGCU
rnacentral:rRNA from 1 species